UGCAACAUGGUCUCCACGUACGUACGGAGAAGUCCGUACCAGAAAACGGCACCAUUUCCAGGGUUUUCAUUGGCUCAGUGGGAUGGUCACGUGACCAUCCUUUCAAGCCACGCAGUGGUGGGUAGGCCCCUAGCCCCUACCCCCGAAAUCUCAGCAGCCGCCGUCGCAUUUGAACCGGCAAUUGUUUUUUUUUCCUCGUUUGUUGUCAUUUUUGUUUUUAAUGGCGGCCUGCUGUCAUUUAAAAUGAAUAAAUAUAUUACUUUUAGAAAAGGGCCGACCUCUCGUGAAGAGAACGAUGGAAUUUAUAGAUUCGGCUGGGAAACUUGUCGAGAAAGCUUUUUUGCUUUUUUAGAUAAACUGACACGAGAGUUUGGUACCUUCUCAAACAGGCAUAAUUUCAAUCUAAUUAAUUGUAUCUGAGAUUUUUUUACCAGAUUUUUUUACUAACAGGGUUUGUACAACUUCAAUCUGGAUAAAAGUAGAUUGAAUUCUAAUAGAUUGAACUCCUUCUAUAUUUACUGCAGGAGCCCUCACUUUUUGCCGUAGCAAAACUGUUGGCAACUGGUCUUGUAAAUCUGAACAGGGUAGAAGUUCUUUGGCGUCCUGUAACAAAUCACCUGCUGGAAGUCAUCAUCCAUCCGCUUAACCGCUUGAGAGAAUGGGGAAUAGAUGUCAUUACUACGUUAGUUAGAUCAGUAAUUCAAUAUGAUUAUUCUACCCCUUUAAAAUAAAACCAGAGAUUGCAGACAUUGUUAAUAUCACCAUUAAAUGAGCUGUCUAGUACCAGUUUUGCAGACAUGCAGCAAAAGCAAGUUGAUUGUGUGCUCCAUUUGCUGCACAGCUCUGGUGACAUAAUCUCUUUUGGAUGGCCCUUGUUUCUCAAUAUCAUAGGAGCUAUCAACAAUUCUCAAGGAGAAAAUUCUGUACGCUCCGCGUUCCAGUGUUUACAGUUGGUGGUAACGUUCUAUCUCCCUGUUUUACCAUGGAACUACCUGCCUUUAGCAGUCGAAACGACAGGAAAAUUUGGAUCGCAAACAUAAGAUCUCAACGUUUCUCUCACAGCAAUUGGUCUUAUGGUUAUUUAACUUGUACUUACAGCUAUAAUUUCGAUUAUAUUAAUUGUAUUUUUGGAGUGCCUAGAAGAAUAGUCGGAAGGUACACGUCGGCUUUUUUGCUGUUUUGGAUAAAGAGACAACUUUAUCUAAAAAGAGUUGGUACCUUCUCAAACAGGUAUAAUUUUGAUUAUAUCAAUUGUAUUUAUCAUGUUAUACCGAUUACUUUAUCACAUUAUUUUUUUUUUAUUUAGUAAAUUGUCUUUAAAGUAAAUGAAACAAUUUAUAUAGUUUAAUGUGUGUUGUGGACAAUAAGCGAUGCACUUUCAUUUCCAUAAAUCAAUUGUUUUUUACUUUAAAUUUACUAUUUUUUAUCGCAUGGCAGCGAUGGAUAAAGUUUUUAUGACUCAAUUUUGAAUUUUGAAUUUGAGCCACAUUUAAAAUACAUUGUUUCCGUUUGCC